rnacentral:pre_miRNA from 1 species
AAUAAUCUCAUUUUUCGUUUUUCCGUGUCCAACGUUUGAUCAUUACUCUUAUUUAAAUUUUUUUUGCGAUUAAUAUUUUUAUUGUUACUAGAUGAUAAAAUAUAAAUAAUACUUUAUACGUGACUAAUUAUUUUAAGUUUUUUAACAAAUUUUUGAAAUAAGACGAAUAGUCAAACGUUGGACACAGAGUCACGUAUA